rnacentral:misc_RNA from 1 species
GAAAUGCGAUAAGUAAUGUGAAUUGCAGAAUUCAGUGAAUCAUCGAAUCUUUGAACGCACAUUGCGCCCGCCAGCAUUCUGGCGGGCAUGCCUGUUCGAGCGUCAUUUCAACCCUCGACUUCCCUUUGGGGAAAUCGGCGUUGGGGACUGGCAGCAUACCGCCGGCCCCGAAAUGGAGUGGCGGCCCGUCCGCGGCGACCUCUGCGUAGUAAUCCAACCUCGCACCGGAACCCCGACGUGGCCACGCCGUAAAACACCCCACUUUCUGAACGUUGACUCGGAUCAGGUAUGAAUACCCGCUGAACUUAA